rnacentral:rRNA from 1 species
GAGUUUGAUACUGGCUCAGAUUGAACGCUGGCGGAAUGCUUAACACAUGCAAGUCGUGCGGUAACACUUCGGGUGACGAGCGGCGGACGGGUGCGUAACGCGUGAGAAUCUACCUUUUAGUGGGGGACAACUCGGGGAAACUCGAGCUAAUACCGCAUAUGUUCUACGGAAUAAAGCAGGGGACCUUCGGGCCUUGCGCUAAAAGAUGAGCUCGCGUGAGAUUAGCUUGUUGGUGAGGUAAUGGCUCACCAAGGCGACGAU